AUUGAACGCUGGCGGCAGGCUUAACAUAUGCAAGUCGAGCGGAGAUGAGGUGCUUGCACCUUAUCUUAGCGGCGGACGGGUGAGUAAUGCUUAGGAAUCUGCCUAUUAGUGGGGGACGACAUUCCGAAAGGAAUGCUAAUACCGCAUACGUCCUACGGGAGAAAGCAGGGGAGCUUCGGACCUUGCGCUAAUAGAUGAGCCUAAGGCGGAUUAGCUAGUUGGUGGGGUAAAGGCCUACCAAGGCGACGAUCUGUAGCGGGUCUGAGAGGAUGAUCCGCCACACUGGGACUGAGACACGGCCCAGACUCCUACGGGAGGCAGCAGUGGGGAAUAUUGGACAAUGGGCGGAAGCCUGAUCCAGCCAUGCCGCGUGUGUGAAGAAGGCCUUUUGGUUGUAAAGCACUUUAAGCGAGGAGGAGGCUACCUGGAUUAAUACUCUAGGAUAGUGGACGUUACUCGCAGAAUAAGCACCGGCUAACUCUGUGCCAGCCGCCGCGGUAAAAC
rnacentral:rRNA from 1 species